ACAAAUCAGUUGUUUCAGCUUUUCAGCCGGCUUAUAAGCUGAAGCGAACAGGCCGCGAUUCCAUUGUGUAGAGAUACAUCUUGUAGAUAAACUAAACCAUCUGUCCUAUCUAUAAUGGAACCAGAAUCUAGAACCAACCCUAUGCUUUCAGUUACAGGAGAUAUUAUAUCUCUAAAAGAUCGCAAACUUGACAAACAAAAGACGAACAGACUUCCUAGAGAUCAGAUUGCGGGUGUUGAUUUGGUAAUACCAGAUUUCAUCAAUAGGCGGAUCAAAUCGUCCUGCCGCACAUGGAAGCGGCGGCAGCAUAUUCGCAGGCUCCUCAUCGCCUUCGCUACUGCGACGAGCCGCCGGCAACCGUUCAAAUUCUUGUUAUCGGAAUACUCCGCCGACUGGGAGUUGGGCGAGGGCAGCGCCUCCACACAGUGGGCCCAGUCCUUCUCCUUGUUCCCGCCCAU
rnacentral:lncRNA from 1 species